rnacentral:rRNA from 1 species
AUUGAACGCUGGCGGCGUGCCUAACACAUGCAAGUCGAACGAGUGGUGGACGGGUGAGUAAAACGUGCGAACCUACCCAUCUACGGGGGAUAACACUUGGCAAAAGGUGCUAAUCGCGCCAACUGAAGGAUGGACCCGCGGUGCAUUAGCGAGUCGGUGGGGUAAAGGCCUACCAAGUCGACGAUCAGUACCUGGUCUGAGAGGAUGAUCAGCCACACUGGAACUGAGACACGGUCCAGACUCCUACGGGAGGCAGCAGUGGGGAAUAUUGGACAAUGGGCGAAAGCCUGAUCCAGCCAUGCCGCGUGUGUGAAGAAGGUCUUCGGAUUGUAAAGCACUUUAAGUUGGGAGGCGUUACCAACAGAAGAAGCACCGGCUAACUUCGUGCCAGCCGCCGCGGUAAUAC